rnacentral:rRNA from 1 species
GAUGAACGCUGGCGGCGUGCCUAAUACAUGCAAGUCGAGCGAACAGACGAGGAGCUUGCUCCUCUGACGUUAGCGGCGGACGGGUGAGGAACACGUGGAUAACCUACCUAUAAGACUGGGAUAACUUCGGGAAACCGGAGCUAAUACCGGAUAAUAUAUUGAACCGCAUGGUUCAAUAGUUAAAGACGGUUUUGCUGUCACUUAUAGAUGGAUCCGCGCCGCAUUAGCUAGUUGGUAAGGUAACGGCUUACCAAGGCAACGAUGCGUAGCCGACCUGAGAGGGUGAUCGGACACACUGGAACUGAGACACGGUCCAGACUCCGACGGGAGGCAGCAGUAGGGAAUCUUCCGCAAUGGGCGAAAGCCUGACGGAGCAACGCCGCGUGAGUGAUGAAGGUCUUCGGAUCGUAAAACUCUGUUAGUAGGGAAGAACAAAUGUGUAAGUACCUAUGCACGUCUUGACGGUACCUAAACAGAAAGCCACGGCUAACUACGUG